UUACCUCAACCGCAAGGAGGGGGAUGCCUAAGGCAGGGCUAGUGACUGGGGUGAAGUCGUAACAAGGUAGCCGUACCGGAAGGUGUGGCUGGAUCACCUCCUUAAAGGGAGACCUAAUUCCGGUAGGAGACGAAAAAAAAGUAGUCCCUACCAAGAAUCAAUCCCAAAAGGUCGGAGCGAGGCAAAAUUGGCUUUCAAACUAGGUUCUGGGUUCACACAAGACCUGAAUCAGGAACAAGGGCUAUUAGCUCAGGUGGUUAGAGCGCACCCCUGAUAAGGGUGAGGUCCCUGGUUCGAGUCCAGGAUGGCCCACCUGCACAGGUGGAAGAAAGAAAAAAGCUCCGAAUCAGCACCUUAUCUUACUUAUAUAGUAAGAGAGAAUGCUGGCUCUGAGUACAGAGUCCAGAGGAACCUUGAAAACUGCAUAGAGCUAGGUAAAAAGCCAAAAAAGAAGACCGCAAGGUCAA
rnacentral:misc_RNA from 1 species